rnacentral:rRNA from 1 species
CCUACGGGGGGCUGCAGUGGGGAAUAUUGGGCAAUGGGCGCAAGCCUGACCCAGCAAAGCCGCGUGAAGGAUGACUGCUUUCGGGUUGUUAAAUUCCUUUUAGAUGGGAGUGCAGCAGACGAUACCUCUUGAAUUGGCUAUGGCUAACUACGUGCCAGCAGCUGCGGCAAUACGAAGGUGGCAAGCGUUAUCCGGAUUUAUUGGGUGUAACGGGUGUGCAGGCGGGAAGGCAAGUCAGAUGUGAAAGCCAGCGGCUCAACCGCGAAACUGCAUUUGAAACUGGUAUUCUUGAGUACAGGAGAGGUCAGCGGAAUGCGUGGUGUAGCGGUGAAAUGCGUAGAUAUAACGAAGAACACCAAUGGCGAAGGCGAAUCACUGGACGGCAACUGACAGUGAGGCGCGAAAGCGUGGGGAGCAAACAGGAUUAGAUACCCGUGUAGUC